GCCGCUAAGUUGUGCGUUCCAGGGUGCACUCGCCGGCGAGGCUGCACGGCGCCGGUUUCAUUGCUAAAAUCCGACGGACUUGUUGCAGAACUCGUUUUUUUUGUCGGGAAAGGGCUUCCCCGUGUAACUUUACAGCAGUUAUCGUAGAUAAGACUUGCAAAUUACAGAUGUGGACGGUGAGGGAACGGGAAUUUCACUGAAAGCGCCUGAGAACCAGUAAGAGACCUGCAACAGCUUUGUGCUCCACUGGCGAAUGCUUCCUCCCCUAAUACACAUUAUGUGUGCUUGGAGACACAAGGAGUAAGAUACAGCCCCUCAAGGGACUCGUCAUAGGGAGAGGACACAGCUUUGGGAAUAAAGGGGCCACAAAGGAGGAGAGAGGAGUUUGCUGAAACUUCCCAAGCUCCCAUUCCAGCAGUUCCUGAAGGAUUCAUUUCUCUCUGAGGAUCUCAUGAGGUGGCUUAGCAGCUAGAAUCUCUUCCUUAACAGUGGGAAGAACAACUCCUGGAAAUUUAGGUCGACUUUGACUGGAUUUAAAAGAAAGCUGUACAAUUCCACUUCUGUAUAUACAACCAAAGGAAAUGAGAUGUGCAUACCCAUGUUCAAUGAAGCAUUAUUCACAAUAGCCAAAAUGUGGAACCAAUCCUUAAACAAAAGGAAAACAGAAAAUCUGCUCAAGUCCCUGCAGGCACCUGAGAAAAUCACAACCCACACUUGCGAACCCCUAGGAGACCUAAAGCUGUGGUUUUACAAAUAAACAGAUAAGUAACAUUCCUACUCUUUCCUAUAGGUACUCAAUCUUCUUAACAACUCCCAUCCCACACAGGUUUGCAUCCCCAGCAGAUACAUAUGGCUAUGUGGUCACCCAUUCGAUCAGCCUAUAAAAGACUUGUCUUAUUUGAUAUUGUGAAACCCAUGGUUAUCAGUGUAUAUGAAAAUGUUUGGUUCAGGGGUCAAUGUACAAUAUGACAAGCAAAGUCCUCUAAUACACAGUUAUAUAAAAUCACUCACCUGAGAGCCAAGUGGACAAUUGGCCUUAUAUUGGCUGGAGUUGGAGCCCCAGAGGGAAAAUUUGCCUAUUAUUAGGCAACUCUUCAAAACUUUACUUAUUCGUUUCUAAACACUGUCUCAUAAAAUGGGGGAUGCUUUAGAUGAAUUAAGAUUAGCACUAGAUUACUUAUUCGUUGAAAAUUAGCACUAGAUUUCUUAUUGGUUGAACAAGGAGGAGUGUGCACCAUAAUCAAUAUAACCUGCUGCAGUUAUGUAAACACCUCAGGUCACAUAGAAGAAGAUAUACAGAAAAUACAUGAACAAGCUGUGUGGUUGCGUAAAUAUAACCAAGGCACCAAUCCCAACUGUAUCUGGUCAGCCAUUAGAAGCACCCUCCUGAGUCUCACUUGGUUGUUGCCCUUCCUAGGAACUUUGAUAGUUGUCUUAUUAUUAAUCUUUGGCCCUUGCUUGUUUAAAUUCUUGGUAAAGUUUGUGUUUUUUAGAUUACAACAAUUCCACAUAAAGAUGAUACUGACACAAAGCUUCCAAUCCAUCCCGUCUUCUGAACCGGGAAAUAAAGACACCCUGCCUUUAGGUGUCUUUAGAUCUAGAUCAGGCAUCUAGAGAUUUUUACUCCUCCAAUACUUGGCAGGGUCUAUGCCCGUAGACUCAUCAGGAUACCAUGUAAAUGAGGACCUCCCUUGGUACCCCAGAGGCCAACUGUAGACCCUUAUGAGAAAAUCCUGUCCCCAAAAUGAACAUCCACUGUCAGCAGGAAGAAGUUACAGAAGACCAGCCUUUGCCCUUACGAUUAAGGGUCCUCUUGUAAGUAGAGAGGGGAAUGUUAGGAAAGCAGGAGCCUAGGUGAUCCAGAGUGACACCAUUUUAAAAUAAACUCCACCUGAAAACUAGCAAGGCAUCUGCACACAUCUGUUUAGCAAGUAUAUACUUCUGUAACUGGAAUAAAAAGCGUUAUUUUAGAAUAUGCCUAUAGUUUGUAAUAAUUAGCCGAGGGAAAAAAAGUUCACAUUGGUGUAGGAAAAGUGCCCUAAUGGUCAUGGGUAAUAAUGGGACCGUGGUUCUGGUCAGUGAUUUGAUGGAAGGGGUGUAGAUAAUAUAUUGUUGUAAAUAAUAAAAAUAAAAAAUUGUUGUAAGUAAUAAAAAUAAAAUAAUAUUGUUGUAAGUAAUAAAGUAGGAGAAAUAUUUGGUCUUUUGCUUUUGGGUUAGUGCAACAGUAGUACCAUUACUUGGAGGAGAAGUUAGAGAAGGACAAGAAUAGGCUUGAAUAAGAUGAGUGAGAAGAGAGAAAAAUUCCGUAAGUGGAGAUGGCCAGGGAACACCAGGGCAGCAGAAUCUAACUCUGAAUUUAAUGCUGUUGUCUGUUCAUAUUGCACUGCGCUGUAAUCUCCCUAUCUUUCCUAAACCAUUGGCAAAGUCUGCUAUCCACUGGGGCCUUGGGUCGGUGGUGCUUUGGGAAAUACCAGAAGAGGGAAAGUACGGCAAAUGUGCAGUGUCACAGAUGAUAGGAGGAAAGCUGGCCAGUGGGAUGAUUAAAACAAUUUCGGUGGGAGUGGGAAUUCAGACCAUGUAAAUGGUCUGAAUUAAGAAAAUUUCAAGAAACAAAAAAUGUUUCUAAUGAGCCAAAGUGAAAGCUCUUCAUGAUUUCUUUAUAGAGGCUCUCUAGUGCUUGUCCUAAUUUCCUGAAAUCUCAUGGGUAUCUUACUCUCCUGGUGCCCGCCUCAAACAUUCACUGUAGCAAUUAUAUGAGCAGCCUAGAGAAUCCCAAUCCCAGUGGUCUUGCUCCCUGGAUCUACUUUCUCUUAAAAAUCAUUCCCCUAAGUUUCCGUCACUUGGUUGAAGUUUAGUAGAUAUCUCCACAUCUCCAGCUAGAACAGCACCAGAAUUUCAGGACUAGGGCAAUAGAGUCUGAUAUUAAAUUCUAUUUCUAUCUAUCUAUCUAUCAUCUAUCUAUCUAUCUAUCUAUCUAUCUAUCUAUCUAUCUAUCUAUCUACAGAACAAUUUGUGGGAUAGUAGCUUUGGGGUCCCAGAUCUAGGAUGGGCCUGGUCCUCCAUGCUGGUUCUCCUGGGUGAUAUUUCUGUUAGUUUGAACAGUAAUCACACUUUUAUUACUGUUUCAUCUUUUUUUUUUCACUCUUAGACUGAUUUUAUCAUGUGUAUAAAACAUACACACACCUACAUCUCAAGGAUAAACAUUAAUCCUUGAAAAAUAUGUGGUCUAAAACUAUAUUGAGGAGAGAAAGAUAGGACACUUUAAUUGCCACAUGAUUAACACGAGGUCACCACACAGCUUUCACAAAUCUACAAGUCAUUCUAUUUAGGCUGAGUCAAGUUCUCCCUUGGGCCAGCCAGAGCACAAAUAAUGGAGCAAUGUGACUCUUCAAUGACAGAUCUCUGAUUUCCAGAAAAGAGACUUUGAAAUACCCAAUUCUAGUAAAUAUGCAAUUAAAUUUCCAGCUAAAUGACCUUUGCUCCUGUAGUCUUCAUCUUGGGGAAGGGAAAGAAGUCUUAUUCUGUUUAAUAGUUUGAUUUUUAUAAUAGGGUUUGUCUCUGUUAUAAAUCUUGUUUGAUAUUUAAAAUGUUAGCUAAGAGAAAACUUCUGUUUGUUUUUAUUUAGUGGGAAGAAACUAACCCUCAUUGAGUGCCUAGUUAACAUCAGGCACUUUGUACACAUAAUCAAUUGAAUCUUGACCACAACCCUGUGAGGUGAAAAAUGAGAAGAUUAAAUAAGCCAUGGGAAGAUUUUUUAAAAUGACAUGAAACUCCAAGGGUAAAAAGUAGGCUGGGAAAUCUUAGGAUGGUGAACCAUCAUGUUUCCUGAAUGUGAAUCCUGUACCUGGUUUGACUGUAGUCACCCCUUCUCCAACACUCUCCACGAUGCCGGCUGCCUCAUGGCCUAAAAUCACAGGAAGUGGGGUCACCAUGGUACCACUAACCACGUGGUCAUCUGUGCCACAGAUUCCUACAGCCACCAUCUACAGAGUGAAGAGAAGAUGUUUAUAAAAGAUUGUGAGUCUCAGGAUGUUCAACAUGAUCAAUGCCAAAUAAAUAUCAGAAUACUUGGAAGUAAAGUACUAAUAGUAGGAGUUCCUGAUUAUCAGGUGCCUAUGAUGUGACAGGCACAUUGUGGCCUGUGCUCGACCAGGAGACUGCUUUUCCAGGCUGAGAUCAAAGACGGAGAUGUGCCUACCCGCAGAUCCUAGAUGGCCAUGUUUGCAACAGAGGUAAUGAUGAGCAGUGCGAAGAUGUGACUCCAAAGCCUGGAGAAGGACAGACCAGCAUCCCUGCAAGAGAUCCAACUGUCUUCUUUUCCGCAGAGGUCCAUAAUUUACAUGGGCCUGACAAAGAAUACUGUAACUUGCAGAAAUUAUCUUCAGUUCAAAUCCUUCAUUUUGGGGGUUAAAUAACUUGCCCAAGAUGUCGAGGGAGCGGAAAUACUUGCUGGUCUUGCAGCGGCUGUGGAGCCUGGAAUCCUGCCAAGAAGAGCAUGUGUGAGAGAUCAAAAUGUUUGCUUACAUUCCUCCUGUGAAGGGAGUUGGGAAAUAACCUAAGAAGCCCAAUCCAAAAACAAAGAUGUACCAUCCAGUCUUCUCUGUGAGAACCAAACUACAAACCAUCUGAAUGUUCCAAAAGUGUUUUGAUGAUGUAUUGAUGUAUUUUAAAUUAUCCUGAAAAUGUUCUUGGCAGAUGCUUAAACAUGUAAUUACUGAGAUGAUGUAGAAAUACCAAGUGUUUAUUAAAACAAUACAGAGUAAUACAAAUGGUAUGUUUGUCGCAAUAUAAAAGUAUCUAAAAAUUAAAGAGUUCUUUAAUGGUG
ensembl:lncRNA novel transcript, antisense to ADH4, ADH6 & ADH1A